GUGAGUUCAUAUGGGUUGAUGUUGCUGUUUAGUGCUGCUUUAUCCUUGUUAAUGGCUGAUUUCAUGCCUUGUUUUGAUUGAGCAAUGAUGAUGAUGGCCUUAUUCUGAGCUGUUUUAUUAGUGCUGAUUUGAUUUUAGUGAGUUCAUAUGGGUUGAUUUUGCUGUUUGUUUAAAUUCAGAAACGUCCUAUUUACUGCCAUAAUGUUGCCGAAAUUUCUAAAAAUUUGUGUGUUAAUUGAAUUUCAAUUUGUGAAUUGAAUUUGGUAAUUUGUUGCUUUAGUUUAAUUUCUAAAAGUUACACGAGCAUUCAAUAUGUUUGAAUUGGGAAUAAGACUAAAAAAUGAUGAAUUUUAUGUUUUGUUAACUCUUGAGAUAUGUUUAAAUUGGCAGAUAUCAAGUGAAGAAGCUAUAGAAACUGCAAAGCAACUAAUGCUUAAAGAAGGCCUGUUUGUAAGUUCCCUAAUAAGAUGCAGAAGACGAGCGAGAAACUUUUUUGGUUGAUGAAGAUGAUGAAGACAAUGACGGGAAUGGGAAUGCCAUUGGUGAGUGGGGAUAUCUGUGCAAUUUAAACAGUUUUGGAAGUGGAGAGCAUCGCCACAAGGGUAGGACAAGUGAGGAGCAGAAGAACAAGGAUAGGACAAGUGAGGAGCAUCGACGGCUGCAGAUUCUCGAACCGAAAUCAAGGGUUGAUAUCGGUUCUUUUCCCUAGGUCUCCACGUAGGGUUGAUAUCAAUUCAAUUUCAGUUUCCAGCAAAGGUUAAAAAUAUCUCUGCUUAGGGUUUUAGCACUUUACAAAGGUACUCUCCCAGGCUCCAAUUCUCUUCUUUUUCUUCUUCACUGUGCUGCUCUUGUUUAUAUUUUUUUAAUCUCCACCUUGUUCUUUCUUCAUCUUUCGAUUCAAUUUAUUGUUGUUUAUAUUUUUUAAUCUCCGCACUUGACAAGUUGAGAAUUAUCUUGCUAUGCUACCUAUGAUAUUGAUAUAUCUCUUUUCGUUUUGGUUUUCAAUCUGCUGGUUUUAUUUCAUUGGUUAUUGCAAGGGUUUGAUCAAGGAGCUUGAAAUUUGAUUGAUAAAUAGCUCUCUGAAACUAAUAGUUAGGUAAUGAAGCGUUAAAAAUGGCUGGCUUUUGAAUUUAUGUUAUUGAUUAGGACAAGAACAAUGAAAUGAUUUUAUAUAGUUUGAGUGUAACAAGCUGAAGUAAAUAAUUUUUCUUUCUGCACUUCUUUGUUUUUCGUCUCAUAUGUGUCGACAAUCUGGUUUUUUGUUGUUGAAAUACCAUAUAUAGAACAUAAUAAUAAUAAUCAAGGUUUACGGUUUACUUCAGGUUCCAACGAUGGCUUUCUUUGGUUGAAUUGGGAAUUUACUCAGAAAUGCUGCAAACAAGCAGAUCAGUUCAGAAUUGCUCCCAUCCCCAUCUAUUCUCCAGGAAAUACGGUGCAUGUCAUCUGCUCCAAACUCAAAACUGUUCAUUGGAGGUAUUUCAUAUUCUACUGAUGAGUAAGGUUUGAGGGAGGCAUUUCAAGAUAUGGAGAAGUUGUUGAUGGUACAUACAAUUACUCAUUUUUUCCUAUGCAGACUCGAUCCAUGGCAGGGAAACCCUUUUGUUUGAGGAGACUCAGAAAAAGCAGCAUUGUUCUUAUUCUGAAGAGUUUGCAACCCCCGAGAGAGCUUGAAUGAACAAGACUCGGAAUUUAGGAAGAAAUGCUGAUUCUGGUUCAAACUUGAGGCCUCAGAAUUUAUAGGAAGCAGCAUUGUUCCAAAAAUAUGAUGAAGAAAUGUCCCUCUUAGACAGAAUUAGUGCACAGAAACUUGAGGAAACAGAGUAUUUAAGAUCCAUGGAAGCCUCUCCAAGAUCAAUUUCAGAGCGUAUUUGCAUCAAGUGUGAAGAAGAAAGCAUGUGAUAUAGGUCACAAUAACCCAUAUGGUGAACUAGAGGCCGCUUAUGUUGCUGGAAUUAUUGGGUGAUUGUGUUGUGGAUGUUGGAGCUAUGUUGCAAUAGCUACUAUUAUUAUUCUCCAUCUGGUUGAAGCUGCUGCAGGUUCCAUCACUGACUACUGGAGAGGAUGCUACUAAUGUUGGCAACAAUUGAUGAAGAGUGAGGGUCUCUUGGCCGGAAUUAGUCUAUCACAUUAUAAUAAAGCUUCCAGUUUAGUGUUUCAAUAAACACACUCACAUUCUUUUGUUAUUAUAUUUUUUGCAAACUUAGAUGAUAUUGUGGAUCUUACAACAAUUUUUAUAAAUUUGAUGGGAAAUGUUGAAUUUUUUUUCUUUA